rnacentral:rRNA from 1 species
CACUCUGGGAUAAGCCUGGGAAACUGGGUCUAAUACUGGAUACGACCGAUCUCCGCAUGGAGUGUUGGUGGAAAGUUUUUGUGGUGGGGGAUGGACUCGCGGCCUAUCAGCUUGUUGGUGGGGUAAUGGCCUACCAAGGCGACGACGGGUAGCCGGCCUGAGAGGGCGACCGGCCACACUGGGACUGAGACACGGCCCAGACUCCUACGGGAGGCAGCAGUGGGGAAUAUUGCACAAUGGGCGAAAGCCUGAUGCAGCGACGCCGCGUGAGGGAUGACGGCCUUCGGGUUGUAAACCUCUUUCACCAGGGACGAAGCUAACGUGACGGUACCUGGAGAAGAAGCACCGGCUAACUACGUGCCAGCAGCCGCGGUAAUACGUAGGGUGCGAGCGUUGUCCGGAAUUAUUGGGCGUAAAGAGCUUGUAGGCGGUUUGUCGCGUCUGCUGUGAAAGACCGGGGCUUAACUCCGGUUCUGCAGUGGGUACGGGCAGACUAGAGUGUGGUAGGGGAGACUGGAAUUCCUGGUGUAGCGGUGAAAUGCGCAGAUAUCAGGAGGAACACCGAUGGCGAAGGCAGGUCUCUGGGCCAUUACUGACGCUGAGAAGCGAAAGCAUGGGGAGCGAACAGGAUUAGAAUACCCUGGUAGUCCAUGCCGUAAACGUUGGGCGCUAGGUGUGGGACUCAUUCCACGAGUUCCGUGCCGCAGCUAACGCAUUAAGCGCCCCGCCUGGGGAGUACGGCCGCAAGGCUAAAACUCAAAGGAAUUGACGGGGGCCCGCACAAGCGGCGGAGCAUGCGGAUUAAUUCGAUGCAACGCGAAGAACCUUACCAAGGCUUGACAUACACCGGAAUCAUGCAGAGAUGUGUGCGUCUUCGGACUGGUGUACAGGUGGUGCAUGGUUGUCGUCAGCUCGUGUCGUGAGAUGUUGGGUUAAGUCCCGCAACGAGCGCAACCCUCGUUCCAUGUUGCCAGCACUUCGGGUGGGGACUCAUGGGAGACUGCCGGGGUCAACUCGGAGGAAGGUGGGGAUGACGUCAAAUCAUCAUGCCCCUUAUGUCUUGGGCUUCACGCAUGCUACAAUGGCCGGUACAGAGGGUUGCGAAACCGUGAGGUGGAGCUAAUCCCAAAAAACCGGUCUCAGUUCGGAUUGGGGUCUGCAACUCGACCCCAUGAAGUCGGAGUCGCUAGUAAUCGCAGAUCAGCAACGCUGCGGUGAAUACGUUCC